GAUGAACGCUGACAGAAUGCUUAACACAUGCAAGUCUACUUGAUUCUACUUCGGUAGUUGAUGGUGGCGGACGGGUGAGUAACGCGUAAAGAAUCUGCCCUUUAGUUUGGGAUAACCUUUGGAAACGAAGGCUAAUACCGGAUAUUAUGGAGACGUCGCAUGGCGACCUCAUGAAAGCUAUAUGCGCUAGAGGAGGACUUUGCGUCCCAUUAGUUAGUUGGUGAGGUAAUGGCUCACCAAGACCGCGAUGGGUAGCCGGCCUGAGAGGGUGAUCGGCCACAAGGGAACUGAGACACGGUCCUUACUCCUACGGGAGGCAGCAGUGGGGAAUAUUGGACAAUGGGCCACAAGCCUGAUCCAGCAAUUCUGUGUGCACGAUGAGGGUCUUCGGAUUGUAAAGUGCUUUCAGUAGGGAAGAAAAAAAUGACGGUACCUACAGAAGAAGCGACGGCUAAAUACGUGCCAGCAGCCGCAGUAAUAC
rnacentral:rRNA from 1 species